AUGUGGUUGUUGGCCCUUCUUUUUUCCCUGACAGUGGGAGGCACCAUGGGACAAGACGUGCAGCAGCCCCCUGCGUUGAUGGCUCUGGAAGGAGCCUCUGUGAAGGUGAACUGUACAUUCCAGACAACUGGCUUCAAUGGGCUGUCCUGGUACCAGCAAAGUGAUGAUGGAGCGCCCGUCUUUCUCGCUUACAAUGUUCUGGAUGGGUUGGAGAAGAGAGGCCGUUUUUCUUCCUUCCUCAGUCGCUCUAAUACAUACAGUUACCUCCUUCUGACGGGGACGCAGAUCAAAGACUCUGCCUCCUACUUCUGUGCUGUGAGAGACAUGGUGACAAUGAGCCCCUUUCAGCUGUAA